UCCAGAUUCAAGUUUGUCAUCAGCUGCUGUAGCAGGAAUAUGUGCUGUUGAUGCUGUUGGUGUCCUACUGCUGUUAGUGUCCUGCUGCUGGUGUCUUUAUCUGUGAUUUGUUACCAUCAUCAAGUGAGAAGGAAAGACACCAGGAUGCAGCACAGAGAUCAGGUGAAUGUUGGAUUUGAUUUGUCGAUUAAUCCGAGUGAGACUCCAAUAAUGUAAUCACACUGAUGCUCAAGUGGCGAACACUACCAGUGACUCUUCCCCAAAUCAGACUGAGAUCGAGCCUGAGGCUGCCAGUGAGAUCUAACAUUAUUUUGAUACUUUCACUGAAAUGGAAAGAGAAGAGAGGAUGGGAAUGAGAGAGAUUUUAUCAUUUUCAAUCUACUCUUGAUCGUAAGAUCUCUUGUUGCUCAGAAAUUGUCACCACACCAAGAUUUAAGGAGUCACUACCAAUUUAUCAAAUUUAAGUUAUAUAAACUUGAAUUCAAAAUGGAAAAUUAAAAGUUGAGUUCUACAUACUUUUUCUGUAUGUAGGAGAACCUCCACAUGCUGAGAUGUAUCAUAUAAUGAGUUGAUUAAUUACAAUUAAUUUCCCCCACAAUUUCAUCAUCACAGCAUAACUGACGCAUUGAAUAUGAUAAUGAAAGUUAAGACUAUUAGCUUACUACUCAUUGAAUUUUUUUAAAAAGGUCUUUUAAAACUGGUCUGUUAAUUAGGUUGGCUUGAGAAAGCCAACUUACUGAAAUCCUAUUUAAACUUCUAUCUAUCUAUCUAUCUAUCUAUCUAUCUAUCUAUCUAUCUAUCUAUCUAUCUAUCUAUCUAUCUAUCUAUCUAUCUAUCUAUCUAUCUAACAACUUGCUAAUAAUACUAAAAUCAUGCUAGCAACAUGCUAGGCGCAUGCUAGUCAUGCUAGAAACAUCCUAGCAACAUGCUAAUCAUGUUAGCAACAUGCUAGUCGCAUGCUAGAAACAUGUUAACCAUGCUAGAAACAUGCUUGUCGCAUGCUAAUCAUGUUAGAAACAUGUUAACAACAUGCUAGCAACAUGUUAAUCAUGCUAGAAACAUGUUAGCGAC